AAUCCCCUGUGAUGAGCUAGCUGAAUAAUUUAAAAGUAGUGGCCUAAUUACCAUUGAUGAAAAGCUUUAUUCUGAGGGAUU
rnacentral:snoRNA from 1 species